CCUACGGGAGGCUGCAGUGGGGAAUAUUGCACAAUGGGCGCAAGCCUGAUGCAGCCAUGCCGCGUGUGUGAAGAAGGCCUUCGGGUUGUAAAGCACUUUCAGCGGGGAGGAAGGCGGUGAGGUUAAUAACCUCAUCGAUUGACGUUACCCGCAGAAGAAGCACCGGCUAACUCCGUGCCAGCAGCCGCGGUAAUACGGAGGGUGCAAGCGUUAAUCGGAAUUACUGGGCGUAAAGCGCACGCAGGCGGUCUGUCAAGUCGGAUGUGAAAUCCCCGGGCUCAACCUGGGAACUGCAUUCGAAACUGGCAGGCUAGAGUCUUGUAGAGGGGGGUAGAAUUCCAGGUGUAGCGGUGAAAUGCGUAGAGAUCUGGAGGAAUACCGGUGGCGAAGGCGGCCCCCUGGACAAAGACUGACGCUCAGGUGCGAAAGCGUGGGGAGCAUACAGGAUUAGAUACCCGUGUAGUC
rnacentral:rRNA from 1 species